CCGCCGCCUCGGUGCUGGAGCCUCUGAAGGUGGUGUGGGCCAAGUGCAGCGGCUACCCCUCCUACCCGGCACUGAUCAUCGACCCCAAGAUGCCCCGUGUGCCUGGCCACCACAACGGCGUCACCAUCCCGGCCCCACCCCUGGACGUGCUGAAGAUUGGGGAGCACAUGCAGACCAAGUCUGAUGAGAAGCUGUUCCUCGUUCUCUUUUUUGAUAAUAAGAGAAGUUGUGGCUUCCUAAGUCCAAAAUGGUUCCCCUUGGUAUUGACGAAACUAUAGACAAGUUAAAGAUGAUGGAAGGGAGGAAUUCCAGCAUCCGGAAGGCCGUGCGGAUCGCUUUUGACCGCGCCAUGAACCACCUGAGCCGCGUCCACGGGGAGCCGACCAGUGACCUCAGUGACAUUGACUGAUGGCCCGGCCGCCAGCGCGGGUCUUGUCCAUAGUGUUGAUAAGCUGUACAUGUUUGUAUAUUGUUCAAAACUUAACUUAUUCUGAUUUUUAGUUGUAGCUCUUUAAUUCUUUUUCCCCGGGGAGGGGGGAGGUUUUAUUUCCAAGUUUUCUAGGAACCCAUCUCCGUCUGGGCGCUGUGAGUGGGGUGGGCACGUCCGGGCAGCCCAGUGCGUCUGUCGCACGUCCCCGGGCCGUGCUGCUGGCGUCACUUUCUUUGAUAUGUAGCUUUUUCUUAAAGACUUUUGAAUGUUUAAUAAUUUUGUAAAUCAUGCUCUUUACACAGAGUACCACUUAUUUAAUAAGACGGGAUGUAAAUUUACAAUGACAAAUGUGUAUUUUAAGAAAGAAAAUGGCAUUAUUUUGAAUGGUACUUUGUGGAAAGAGGGGAGAAUAAAGUUAUGCUGUGUACAUCACUUGCAGAUCACCAAAAACACUCCGCUGCCCGUGACCGCCGGUGGGUGUGUCCCCGCUCCCGUCGUCCCGCCCACCUCAAACCCCGCAGGUGUGCCUCCCAGCGGAUUAUUUAUUGUAGAAAGUGUAUUCAUUUGCUUUAUAAUGAAAAAUACAUUUGCAAAGGUAUAUUGAUAUGCAUUUUUAUACAGGCACAUAAAAAUUCAACUUGGCUUGGGAGCAGAAUGCAUUGCAUUGUAUAAAUGACUCUGGCCUGUGUGUACUUUGAUUUUAUAACUUGUAAUCUUUUGUUUACAAUGAGGGGCUUUCUGUAACUUGUUUUAAUUUAGAACACUUUGGUAGCAAUAGAAACUUUGGAUACAUUUUUGUAUGGUACCUGUGAUGUAUAUAGAAUUAGUACUUUAUUUUUAUUUUUAAGAGGUAAAGCAUUAUGUUGGGGAAAGUAGGG
rnacentral:lncRNA from 1 species